rnacentral:rRNA from 1 species
CCUACGGGAGGCAGCAGUGGGGAAUAUUGCACAAUGGGCGCAAGCCUGAUGCAGCCAUGCCGCGUGUAUGAAGAAGGCCUUCGGGUUGUAAAGUACUUUCAGCGGGGAGGAAGGGAGUAAAGUUAAUACCUUUGCUCAUUGACGUUACCCGCAGAAGAAGCACCGGCUAACUCCGUGCCAGCAGCCGCGGUAAUACGGAGGGUGCAAGCGUUAAUCGGAAUUACUGGGCGUAAAGCGCACGCAGGCGGUUUGUUAAGUCAGAUGUGAAAUCCCCGGGCUCAACCUGGGAACUGCAUCUGAUACUGGCAAGCUUGAGUCUCGUAGAGGGGGGUAGAAUUCCAGGUGUAGCGGUGAAAUGCGUAGAGAUCUGGAGGAAUACCGGUGGCGAAGGCGGCCCCCUGGACGAAGACUGACGCUCAGGUGCGAAAG